GGCUGUCAGUAGGUAGUAGUGUUGUGGCAAUUGUUUUGUGGGCCCUAUUUGUGAGCGGCCAAGAUGCGGAAGACACGAGGCCAUUAUGGUGCUGGCCGCAGGCCGUCAACUCUGCAAAAGUGCGAUGAAGGCUAGUGCGUCGGCCACCAUCAUGUAAAACUAAUACGGUGUUAGACGGCGCCACCAUGCCUAGUUCGUCACCUCUGGCUCAGAUGGUAACAGCUGAACUCGAUGCUGUUGAAGACAGGAAGACGUGUUAAGGUACUGUAAUAGGCUGAGAUCUUCCGAUCACCUUACAGGGGAUCUAUGCAUCUAAAUUUUGACAAUGAGUAUUUUUGUAUCAAAUAAAGGAUUGUUUUUUGUGUAAUAA